rnacentral:rRNA from 1 species
CAAAGAACUUUGAAGAGAGAGUUCAAGAGGACGUGAAACCACAAGGGGCGAAGCGGAUAGAGUUGACGAAACCGGUGGUAUUCAGUGCACGGUGCUGCCUGGCUGCGUUGGUGCUGCAGGGGUUCCCCUGGCCGACGUGGUCUUAGCUUGCUGGUACCGGGUACGCAUUUACCGCCGGUAAUGCCGAUACCCUCGGCUGCUCCUUCUGAACCGUUGAGUUGAGGCCCACCUCGGUGGUCACCUGCUCGGCGGGGAGGUUGCGUAGUGGCUGAGCGGCUGUGCAGGGUCCGGCCUUUGCGAGGGACCGCUGCGUCUGGGUCUUGGAAAGCUUCUGGCAGGUCCAGGGUUGCCCACAGGCCUUCGACGUGGUGGAUACUUCGUUGGACCCGUAUUCGGCUUGAAAGUUGACCACCUAUCCGACCCGUCUUGAAACACGGACCAAGAAGUCUAGUAUGUGCGCGAGUCAUUGGGUCUCCAAACCUAUUGGCGCAAUGAAAGUAAAGGGCGGCUUGCCGUCUGAUAUGGGAUCCGUGAGCUUGCUUGCGGCGCACCAUAGCCCCAUGCCAGUUGCUUGCAACGGUGUGGAGGUAGAGCGUACAUACUGGGACCCGAAAGAUGGUGAACUAUGCCUGAGCAGGACGAAGCCAGAGGAAACUCUGGUGGAGGUCCGAAGCGGUUCUGACGUGCAAAUCGAUCGUCUGACUUGGGUAUAGGGGCGAAAGACUAAUCGAACCAUC